GGUCGGUAUACAAAGGUAGCGGGAAAAUCUUGACCGAAAAGAAGGCGACCAACAGAGUCAUACUUACAGCAAUCGUGCUUACAGUUAUUUCUCGCACUAAAAUGCCCGGUAAGACAGCAGAAGCUCUGCUUAUCAAGCCGCAGUUGACGAAAAGUUUGGAAGAGCUGGAAUAUGACUUAAACAAAAGGGAAUUAUCAGAGAAGGUAAGUUAUCAUAUGUUGACAAA